UACUGUAGCUAACACUGUAUUUAUCUUAUGUAGCAGGUACUGUACACAAUUACUAUUGAUAUAAAUAAAUUUAAAUUGUUUUUAUUGCAUCAUAAUUUUAUUUGUGUGUAACUUUUGUAAAUGUAUAAAGUAGAUUUGUAAUUUGCAAAUUAAAUCGUAUGAAAGUGAAGAAGAAUUGUAGCUGGUGACUCCACUUCCUCCUCCGACGGGCGACGACGAUGACCGGAAACCCAAUUCUGCAACCCCGCCUCAAUCCCCUCCGGUUUGAUGGUACUUCUUUCUGCGAAUGUGCGGGGCAAGGUCAGAUCGACUCUCGCGGUGGAAAUCUGGUGCAGGGCGCCGCCGCAGUGCCGUUCGGAAUCAUAGCACUGCUGCGCUGCCAUGGGCGUCCACCUGGUUCCAAAGACCGAGCCCGUCGUCUCUGUGAAAUGGCUGCACGCCAACCUCAGCACACUGAUGUGAAGGUAGCAUAUACCUGGUGCUGAAUUGCGGAUGCUUCGUGCUUAUGGACAUGACAGUAUGGGUUUAGGAUGAAGGUUUGCCCCCAAUGUUGUGCUUCUGGGAAUGACGUGGAAUCGAGUGCCUCUAGUGAUGCCAUCUUAAAAGCUAGUGCUGCUAGCGAGCAAUUAAUAAAAUUUAUCAGGACAGUCAACAAAGGCAAAUCAGUACAGGGCUGAAGAGCUUUCCUACGUCUUCCACGAUUUGAAUGAAACUAAUCCUUUACUUGAUUCACUGGAGAAGUUCAAGCAUCCAGAUGUACAAAAACUUGCUUUCAAGCUGCACUUCUGUAUUCUCCAAAAAUUAGAAAGCUGCUCCUAUGUAGAAGAUGAUUUUUUUUUUUUGCGAAGAUGUUUUUUCUUGUUGCCAGUUAUUGUAACUUGUCUAUGACUCUGCUUGUACGCUUCUUGGAUUCGUCACCCACAUUGUCGGCUGUUUGCCG